rnacentral:rRNA from 1 species
AACGAACGCUGGCGGCAGGCUUAACACAUGCCAGUCGAGCGCCUCGCAAGAGGAGCGGCAGCCGGGUGAGUAACGCGUGGGAACGUACCCUUAUCUUCGGAAUAGCUCUGGGAAACUGGAAGUAAUACCGAAUGUGCCCUUAGGGGGAAAGAUUUAUCGGAUAAGGAUCGGCCCGCGUUGGAUUAGCUAGUUGGUGGGGUAAAGGCCUACCAAGGCGACGAUCCAUAGCUGGUCUGAGAGGAUGAUCAGCCACAUUGGGACUGAGACACGGCCCAAACUCCUACGGGAGGCAGCAGUGGGGAAUAUUGGACAAUGGGCGCAAGCCUGAUCCAGCCAUGCCGCGUGAGUGAUGAAGGCCUUAGGGUUGUAAAGCUCUUUCACCGGAGAAGAUAAUGACGGUAUCCGGAGAAGAAGCCCCGGCUAACUUCGUG